UGGGGAAUAUUGGACAAUGGACCAAGAGUCUGAUCCAGCAAUUCUGUGUGCACGAUGACGUUUUUCGGAAUGUAAAGUGCUUUCAGCUGGGAAGAAAAAAAUGACGGUACCAACAGAAGAAGUGACGGCUAAAUACGUGCCAGCAGCCGCGGUAAUACGUAUGUCACGAGCGUUAUCCGGAUUUAUUGGGCGUAAAGCGCGUCUAGGUGGUUAUGUAAGUCUGAUGUGAAAAUGCGGGGCUCAACUCUGUAUUGCGUUGGGAACUGUGUAACUAGAGUACUGGAGAGGUAAGCGGAACUACAAGUGUAGAGGUGAAAUUCGUAGAUAUUUGUAGGAAUGCCGAUGGGGAAGCCAGCUUACUGGACAGAUACUGACGCUGAAGCGCGAAAGCGUGGGUAGCAAACAGGAUUAGAUACCCUGGUAGUCCACGCCGUAAACGAUGAUUACUAGGUGUUGGGGGUCGAACCUCAGCGCCCAAGCAAACGCGAUAAGUAAUCCGCCUGGGGAGUACGUACGCAAGUAUG
rnacentral:rRNA from 1 species